AAGUCGUUUUUUAAAAAAAAUUUUUUUUAGUGCACAAAAAAGUAAAUUUCAAAAUUUCACGAUAAA
rnacentral:tRNA from 1 species